rnacentral:rRNA from 1 species
AGCUACGACCAUAUCUCGAGUACAGCAAGAUUUCCCGUCCGAUCAAUCAUAUUUAAGCCUCGGAGGGCCUUAUUCAGUAAUGCCGUGGGAGACCAGGCGUGAACAGAAGGUGUUGUAGCUU